rnacentral:rRNA from 1 species
GAUGAACGCUGGCGGCGUGCCAAAAACAUGCAAGUCGUGCGGCAGCGGGCCUUCGGGUGCCGGCGAGCGGCGGACGGGUGAGUAACGCGUAGGAACGUACCCCAAAGUGAGGGAUAAGCUCCGGAAACGGAGUCUAAUACCGCAUAUGCUCUUAGGCGUAAAGGAGUAAUCCGCUUUGGGAGCGGCCUGCGUCCGAGUAGUUUGUUGGUGAGGUAAUGGCUUACCAAGACGAUGAUCGGUAGCUGGUUUGAGAGGAUGAUCAGCCACACUGGGACUGGGACACGGCCCAGACUCCUACGGGAGGCAGCAGUUAGGAAUUUUCCACAAUGGGGGCAACCCUGAUCCAGCCAUGCCGCGUGUGUGAAGAAGGCCUUAUGGUUGUAAAGCACUUUAAGCGAGGAGGAGGCUCUUUUGGUUAAUACCCAAGAUGAGUGGACGUUACUCGCAGAAUAAGCACCGGCUAACUCUGUGCCAGCAGCCGCCGCAGUAA